GACGAACGCUGGCGGCGUGCUUAACACAUGCAAGUCGAACGGAAAGGCCCUGCUUUUGUGGGGUGCUCGAGUGGCGAACGGGUGAGUAACACGUGAGUAACCUGCCCUUGACUUUGGGAUAACUUCAGGAAACUGGGGCUAAUACCGGAUAGGAGCUCCUGCUGCAUGGUGGGGGUUGGAAAGUUUCGGCGGUUGGGGAUGGACUCGCGGCUUAUCAGCUUGUUGGUGGGGUAGUGGCUUACCAAGGCUUUGACGGGUAGCCGGCCUGAGAGGGUGACCGGCCACAUUGGGACUGCGAUACGGCCCAGACUCCUACGGGAGGCAGCAGUGGGGAAUAUUGCACAAUGGGCGGAAGCCUGAUGCAGCAACGCCGCGUGCGGGAUGACGGCCUUCUGGUUGUAAACCGCUUUCGCCUGUGACGAAGCGUGAGUGACGGUAAUGGGUAAAGAAGCACCGGCUAACUACGUG
rnacentral:rRNA from 1 species